GUAGGUGGCAAGCGUUGUCCGGAAUUAUUGGGCGUAAAGCGCGCGCAGGCGGUUCUUUAAGUCUGAUGUGAAAGCCCACGGCUCAACCGUGGAGGGUCAUUGGAAACUGGAGAACUUGAGUACAGAAGAGGAAAGCGGAAUUCCACGUGUAGCGGUGAAAUGCGUAGAGAUGUGGAGGAACACCAGUGGCGAAGGCGGCUUUCUGGUCUGUAACUGACGCUGAGGCGCGAAAGCGUGGGGAGCAAACAGGAUUAGAUACCCUGGUAGUCCACGCCGUAAACGAUGAGUGCUAAGUGUUAGGGGGGUUUCCGCCCCCCUUAGUGCUGCAGCUAACGCAUUAAGCACUCCGCCUGGGAGUACGGCCGCAAGGUUG
rnacentral:rRNA from 1 species